UUCUCAGCCCGGUGUUAAUACCAAUAGGUCACGUCUUUUUCUCUCAAUUAUUUAUCGGUUCUCAUCAGUACCUGUUCAGCAGGCUGUUUCAUUUAUUUGUCAAACUGUAUUCGGAAUAUUUUUAGCACUUAAAAUCAGAAAAUGCCCUACAAUCCUUCCUUUAAAAAGCUGUAUGAUCUGAUUUGGUUGAUGCCUGCCACAAUGAAGAAAAGCGUUUUCUUGCUUCUCCUUGUGAAGCACUUUGAGAUCUACUGAUGACAAAUGCUAUUUAAGAGUUAGUUAUUAUUUUGUUUGAUCUUUCAGGUAUCUUCAGUCAAAAAAAAAUCAAGCCCCUGGCUCACUUUAUAAGGAUGGCAGUGCCUCAUGGCUGGGCAAAGAAAUUUGCUGGUGCAAUUGGGAACCUUUGCAACGAACUUUGAAAUUCAGCAGGUUCCUUCCAAACUUCCCAGGCUCCUUGACAUCUUGCUUUCCCAGGUACGUUUGCUUAUUUUUUCAGUAAUUAGCAUGAAGCCAUGCUGUGCAGUGAAAUUUCAGCUUCUGCUAAAGUAUGGUUAUAUCUAGUUCUAUAUUCUCUGGGCCUAAUUCUGAUCUCAUUCACAAAGGUAUGAAUAAGGAACUAACACCAUAAACGUCCAUGAUGUCACACCAACGUAAAAGUGGUUUAUUAAAGAUUGGGCCCAGCACAGUGGUAUGGUGGUGAAAUGUAAUGGUCUGUGAUACACAGCCAGUCAGAAUAGCUAUUCUAAGGGUGCCUUCUGGAUUAAAACCUCUAUGGGUGUGUCUAUAUUGUAGCGCAGCCCAACUCAGACUCAAAAAAUAGUAAUUGGAGAUAUACUUAUCUCCUAGACCUGGAAGGGAUCUUGAAAAGUCAUGGAGUCCAGCCCCCUGCCUUUACUAGCAGGACCAAAUACUGACUUUUGCCCCAGAUCCCUAAGUGGCCUCCUCAAGAAUUGAACUCACAGUGCUGGUUUUAGGAGACUAAUGCUCAAAGCACUGAGCUAUCCCUCCCCUUCAAGCCUAAACCCCCUUCUGUCUACAAACAAAUCUUGCUCAACUGGAACUUGGACCAAAAGUCCCAGGGCCUCCUAGGUGGAGGGUCUGAGCCUCAGACAAGUCAGCCCUUUUGCUCUGCAGUGUAGAUGCAGCCCCACUGGACUCAUGCUCUGGGAAUCUGCCAAAAGUAUCCCACAAUCCCAUGGGCCAAUUUUCUUUGUCCCCCAUAUAGUCAAGUUCGGUGAACAAUCAAGUUUUCCCACACUGCACUUCAAACAAAGGAUUUAGGGCAGUCAUAUUUUGGGAUGGUGCUGUAAGGCAUAUGGGUAGCUGGACUCGGGCCUCAGAAUGCAGUGUAGACACUGGAGCCUCAGGGUUCAACAAUUACUAACCUGGAAUUACAAACGAGUAUAGCAGAUAUUCAAGCCUAGCUUAACAAACCCGGGAUCUGCUAACAUGAGUUCUACUAACCCUGGGCUUACAUUGCAGUGUAGACAUACCCUGUCAAACUAUGAGAUCAGAAUCAGACCUUCAGCAUCUAGUUCUUUCAGACCUAUGCUGUAUUGUUCCAAGAUCAAGUUAAAACUAACUUGGGGCUGGGAUUGUCACUUGCUGUGUGCUGGGUACAAUGUCCAGCCCAAUGGGGUCUUGAACCUGAUUGGGAUCACUACAUGAGACAACAAUACAAAUAAUGAUAAUAGUCUUUAUUAUUAGUUGCCUCCCUAAUGGAGAAUAUUCUGACCCUUAUACUUUCUUGCAGACCUAGGUGAACUAUUUGGAGUGGCCAGUUAAUUUUAAAAUAAUCAACCAAUAAAUAAAGGCCUCAUCUUCUGAUCACAAAUAGUGAAAAGCAUUUGAACUUCAUUCAUUUCUCAAGUCUAUCCAGUGAACGGUUCAUGUGAACAAAUUAUUAACCAACACUAAUAUUAGUAUAUGCAAACUGUAUGAAUUAUUAAUAUUAUUAUAUGCACAUCUCAUGAAUUAUUAACCAUCACCAAUACUCUGAGUAUUUGCUACUCGUAAGUCAUUAUUCAUGCUCUAUGAAUGGUCACGUAAUGCCCAUAUUAUUGUUUCUUGUCCCUGAUGAUGACUCCCUAAUCCACAGAGUUUUUACCAUGACUGUGCAAACAUUUCUGCUGUUCAAAUACAUAUUUGCCUAAGCAUUUGUAGCACAUUCUCUUUCUGCAAACAUUUUUGCCAACAAAAAUAUGCAUGGAAGAAAGACACCUCAGGCAACAUUUUUCAAAAGCACCUAUCAUCAACACCUCAAAGGUCGUCAGGUGCCUAACUCUCAUUGAAUUCAUUGGUAUGCCUGUGCAACCG